CUUUCAGUCCACAUUUAAAACAUUCUUCCGCACUUUGCUCUCGUUCAUUUGCGAAGGGAUGGAGGCGCCGCAGCUUCACUGUCAAGGCAGGUGUGUGGAUCUGACAUCUUGUAACACCGGGUUCUACAUUAAAUCAGGUGUGAGAGGAAUGUUAAUGUAUGAGUGUGUUGCCUCAGUCGUCCACAGCGAUGUUGCGGAACAGAUAGGCCAUGGACUCCCCGUUGUGGAUGCGCCGGAUGGCCUCGGCAAGGAUCAUACUGACAUCCACCGUUUUGAUUUUUGGACACUGCAGCUUCUGAACCUCAUGAGGAACAGUGUUGGUCACCACCACCUAGAGGCGCAACACAACGGUGUUAGGCAAAGCUCCUUAGCUUUCUGAAUUUCUAUAAAUCUGUUACUCUAAAUAUGGUGGAGUGGAGUGAGGAGGAACAUACGAAUAACUGUAAAAAAAACAAAACAGGAUCGCAAACAGCUUAAGUUGCUGUGUGUUAUCAGGAAAUAAAAGUGUGUAAUGUGCAAUGUUUGUUUUAUUUAUUUUUUUAGGUAUUGCAUCCUUCCUCCCGAGGCAUUAAUCAAUGCACAAGAUGAAAAUGACUGGGACUAUUCUUUGUUUCAGAGAUGACAGAAAGACAGCCCAAGUCAAUAUGCAUGUGCAUGUACUGUGGCUAGAAGAGAUUAUAUUAGAAGUUUCUGCUGGUACUGUUCUUAGCCUCUCAUUUCCCGAUUUUUUUUUCCAAUUAAUUGAUUAGACUAGUUUAAUUAAAGCACUUCCCAAUAAGCUUUAAUCAUUUCAACAUACUGUAUAAAUAAACAAUCUUUUCAAUGUAUUUUUGAAUGUCAACUUAACAGAAGACAAAUCAUUUUGCCGCCCACACUUGAUUUUACCUCGUCGAUCGCAGACUCCUCUAUCAGUCGUGGUGCCUCUGCAGACAGCAGGCCAUGUGUAGCCAUGAUGUAGAUCUUAUAGGCUCCCCGCUCCUUCAGGAUUUCUGCUGCUGCUACAAAGUCCUCCACAUCAUCUAUAAUGUCAUCCUGAGAAAGUGAAUACAGAACAUAUUUGGAUGUCGGGAAAAACUUUUUCUAGACAUUUAGCGAUCUACUUUUUAGUUAACAUCAUGGUGUGAACAAUGUUGAAACAUUGAUUAUUUAUGAUAAGUUUUUUUAAUACCCGUCACUUGGGAAGUGGAAUGAAUAAACCUGUACAAUAACCAACAAAAUGGCCACAUGAAAGAAGCUGUCAAAUAUUCUUCCCAAAUAAGUUAAAGGCACCCUGUGUAGUUUUCUUGUGAACAUACAAAAGUUAUGUAAACAUUUAGUGCUUACAAAUAUGCAUGUUUGUAUUUCCUUUCUUUAAAAAAAAAAAGAGAGCGAGAGACCAGAUCUGAAUCUUUUCAAUACAACUGUUUUCUGGGAUCCUAUGGUUUAGUGCAGGAGGUGGAUUUCUCGCUUGUUUAAAGAAAAAUCUGUCUGAGGUCUUACAAUAAUGAUGGCGAUUCUUCCUCCUACAUCUCCAACAACGGUGAUGGGCGGCUUCUCCUUCGCCAUCAUCACUGAAAGACACAGACGGAGGAACAACAUUUCAGGACAGGAAGUGAGAUCUAUCCUGCAACCCUCAAUCAGGAGCCCAUUCUUGAGGGGAGACGAACCAAAAUCACCUCAACCAAGCAGAUGAGCGACUGAGGGAUUCCAAAGAUUAUCAGGGGCACAUCAGGGAAAAUUUUCAUCUCAUGGCCCCACUGUGCUUCGGUGUAUCACAAGUUCCUGAUAUAAAAAAAAAAACCUGAUAUGUAUUCUCUGUUUCCCUGAUCAGAAAACAAGCAUAGAGAGACAGUCAGGCAGUGUUGGCCAUUGAAAGAGACUGAUAGGCCUUAAAAGCAAAGUCGGCUGAGCCCGCAUUCUCAUAUGUACGGUGGUCAAACCUGAAACAAUGUUCAAAGUUUUCAUUUCCUUUUCACAAAAAAUUCCAUGCCACUUGCAUUUCUGCUAUUGAAUAGGAGGUGUUGGCCAAGAGAACACCUGGAACAAGUCCCAAAUAUUUAAUUCAAAGCCUCAGCAGUAAGCUGGGCGUGUGAAAUAACUUAUAUCAAUAAGGAUUCAAUCAAUAUUCAACGCAGCUUUUAUUUAGCUCCAGGAAGAGGCCAAAAAUAAAAUGCAUAUGGACAAGACUUGCAAUUGCACACAUACAAACUAUUAAGAUUCUGAGUGGCACGGAGCAACGAUUUUACUUUUACUGAACUACAUAUGUGACUGAAAUGCAAAUUAAAUGUGAUGUUGAAGUCAGUAAUUUGUGCCAUUGCUAUUUUUCUUAAAAAAUGCUACGGUGAAAUCAAAAAGGCCAAUCAACCCGCAGGAACAACAACAAAAAAAACACCAUUCACGGUCAGGGAUGUAUGGAUGGAUGGACUGAUAGAUAAACAGAUGUACUUUAUUGAUACCAAACUGGGAAAUUCCUAAAAUAAAUGCCUCGUCUGGUGCUUUGGGGGCGGACAACUUUCUCUCGUUGCAUUUCUCUUUGCGAAUCAAUUAUUUAAGUGUUUUUGUUUUGCAUGUUUCUUUUCCCCAGGGCGGCAUACAAAUAAAAACACAUCUUAUAGGAC